rnacentral:rRNA from 1 species
GCUUACACAUGCAAGUCGAGCGGGGAGAUGUAGCUUGCUAUAUUUCCUAGCGGCGGACGGGUGAGUAAUGCUUAGGAAUCUGCCUAUUAGUGGGGGACAACAUUCCGAAAGGAAUGCUAAUACCGCAACGCCCUACGGGGGAAAGCAGGGGAUCUUCGGACCUUGCGCUAAUAGAUGAGCCUAAGUCAGAUUAGCUAGUUGGUGGGGUAAAGGCCUACCAAGGCGACGAUCUGUAGCGGGUCUGAGAGGAUGAUCCGCCACACUGGGACUGAGACACGGCCCAGACUCCUACGGGAGGCAGCAGUGGGGAAUAUUGGACAAUGGGCGAAAGCCUGAUCCAGCCAUGCCGCGUGUGUGAAGAAGGCCUUUUGGUUGUAAAGCACUUUAAGCGAGGAGGAGGCUACUUGGAUUAAUACUCUAGGAUAGUGGACGUUACUCGCAGAAUAAGCACCGGCUAACUCUGUGCCAGCAGCCGCGGUAAUACAGAGGGUGCGAGCGUUAAUCGGAUUUACUGGGCGUAAAGCGUGCGUAGGCGGCUUCUUAAGUCGGAUGUGAAAUCCCUGAGCUUAACUUAGGAAUUGCAUUCGAUACUGGGAAGCUAGAGUAUGGGAGAGGAUGGUAGAAUUCCAGGUGUAGCGGUGAAAUGCGUAGAGAUCUGGAGGAAUACCGAUGGCGAAGGCAGCCAUCUGGCCUAAUACUGACGCUGAGGUACGAAAGCAUGGGGAGCAAACAGGAUUAGAUACCCUGGUAGUCCAUGCCGUAAACGAUGUCUACUAGCCGUUGGGGCCUUUGAGGCUUUAGUGGCGCAGCUAACGCGAUAAGUAGACCGCCUGGGGAGUACGGUCGCAAGACUAAAACUCAAAUGAAUUGACGGGGGCCCGCACAAGCGGUGGAGCAUGUGGUUUAAUUCGAUGCAACGCGAAGAACCUUACCUGGUCUUGACAUAGUAAGAACUUUCCAGAGAUGGAUUGGUGCCUUCGGGAACUUACAUACAGGUGCUGCAUGGCUGUCGUCAGCUCGUGUCGUGAGAUGUUGGGUUAAGUCCCGCAACGAGCGCAACCCUUUUCCUUAUUUGCCAGCGGGUUAAGCCGGGAACUUUAAGGAUACUGCCAGUGACAACUGGAGGAAGGCGGGGACGACUUCAGUCAUCAGGCCCUUACGACAGGGCUACCACGUGCUACAUGGUCGGUACAAGGGUUGCUACUAGCGAUGGAUGCUAUCUCAAAAGCCGAUU